AGAUUAAGUUAUUAAGGGCGCACGGUGGAUGCCUUGGCACUAGAAGCCGAUGAAGGACGUUACUAACGACGAUAUGCUUUGGAGAGCUGUAAGUAAGCUUUGAUCCAGAGAUUUCCGAAUGGGGAAACCCAGCAUGAGUUAUGUCAUGUUAUCGAUAUGUGAAUACAUAGCAUAUCAGAAGGCACACCCGGAGAACUGAAACAUCUUAGUACCCGGAGGAAGAGAAAGAAAAUUCGAUUCCCUUAGUAGCGGCGAGCGAAACGGGAAGAGCCCAAACCAACAAGCUUGCUUGUUGGGGUUGUAGGACACUCUAUACGGAGUUACAAAGGACGACAUUAGACGAAUCAUCUGGAAAGAUGAAUCAAAGAAGGUAAUAAUCCUGUAGUCGAAAAUGUUGUCUCUCUUGAGUGGAUCCUGAGUACGACGGAGCACGUGAAAUUCCGUCGGAAUCUGGGAGGACCAUCUCCUAAGGCUAAAUACUCUCUAGUGACCGAUAGUGAACCAGUACCGUGAGGGAAAGGUGAAAAGCACCCCGGAAGGGGAGUGAAA
rnacentral:rRNA from 2 species